GUCUGUUCAAUUGAUGAAUAUAUGAGAUGGAAGGAGAUUCUUGAAGCGGAGCUCAAAGGAAAAAAAGAAAAAGAGAAGAUAUAGAGGGUGAAUCAAGUGGUAUUGAAGACAAAGAGAAUGGCUUAGAAGCUGAGGCAUCACCAAUAAAUGUCCAAGAUCCUGACAUAGUCCAAAGCAAAGGAGCUCCAAAGAGGUUCAAAAACUUCUUGGACAGGCCAAAUAAAAGGAGGUGUUCAGAAUGCAAGGCAACCGAUCACGACAAACGGACUUGCCCAAAAAAUAAAAGGAGAUGGUGAUGGGAAAUUUGGGUCUCUCCAUGUCUUGAUCAGUUUAUUCUCUAAAUAUUCGAUCAGGUAUUUGCUACGGUCUGCUCUUGGGUAGCAAGCUGUUAUGUACGGGAACGUCUACCACAGGCGACAUCGCAGCUAGAGUGGCACGCGCCCACGACGCCAACACUGAUGCGGCAAUUGUAUCCUUGCUUUUUAGAUUUUGUAAGUUGGAACUGGUUGUGUAAAAGCCUGAACCUGAAGGCUAUUGCAAGUACGUAUCAUUUUAACAAAUAUUCGAGUGAAUGUGUAAGUGUUUCUGCGUGUAUAUAUGGCAUCAUUUAACAAAUCUGAAUAAGCACGUGUGUGCAACCUUUCCAUCG